CAGCCGCGGCCGAGCGACCCCCGCUGAUUGGGCAGCCGCCGGGUGCCUGGCAGGUGAGGCGGCGGCUGCCGGGCGGCCGCGAGUGGGCUCCACCGGGCUUGAGUGGCUGCGGGGAACUGGGGCCAGGCUCCAGCCGGCAAACGGCGGGACGCCGCCGGGACUCUCGCGGGCUUUCCCCCACCCCUCGCGGGCUCUUUGCCCCGCGAGGAUCGGUCCCACUGCUGCGCCGAUGGAGGAGACGCGGCGCUCAACGUCCAGUCCUGCUUGGGCCCCCGCUGCCUCACCACCUUGAGAACAUGUCCCCUCUGUAGCUGCAGGGCGCAGAUCCUGGGGAGAGCGCAGCAGUUUCGCGCUCCCGGUCCAGCCGCUGCGUCCACCUCCAAUCACUGCGAGUUCUGAUGGCCUCGAGGCCGGGACCCAGGCCGGGAUAGUUCGCCGUUUGUGCCCCCAACCUGUCGGCAGCUGUCCGAGACCCAAAGGAGAAGAAACGAUUACAAUUAGAGCUGAUCUCCGUUACUUCCGUCUGCGCCAAGCGUUGACCCUUUAGUUUGUGAGCAGCGGCCGUACUCGCCGCUGCCCACUUCCCGAAUUACACACCGGGCACGACACAGCAAACAUAUACAACGCAGUAAACCCAAGCACACAGUAGGAAACAAGCACACAACACAGUAAACACAAGCGCACCACAGGAAACAAACACGACAUAUGAAAUACGCACACAACACAACAAAGUAAGCACAUACAACACAGUAACAUAAACUACGCACAACACAGCAAACACAGAAACACAACUAAACACAACAGAGCAAAUACACAUAACAGCGAGCAUACCCACAAAUACAAAACAUGCAAAGAACACUUUUAGCCAGUGUACGCAAAACAUGCACACAACACACUAAACACAUAAUAAACACACUAGACACACACAGUAUCAGGGUGGUUUCCAAAUCACUAGGCUAAUCAGCUUUGAAUUCUCAACAUUUUCAAAUGCAAAAGUCGUGUUGGGGGUUGCUGAUGCUGAAUGGGGACUGUGACAUGGAAUUUUCUUUCCUCUGAACAGCCAAGGCUUUACUCUCUUCUACUCCUACCCGGAGAAGGUAAAGCAUGUAGUGACCUCAGGGACUGCUUACCCCUUAAGGAUUUACUUCCAGGGGUGUGUGUGAAAGUCCUCUCGCCUUCUGUCUGUUGCAAGGUCUUUCUGACAUAAUGACCAGGUUCAGACAAGGCUAUAAAUUCACUCAUUUUUGUGUCCUGCAAGGCAUUUGCAAAGAAUGCAGAAGAGAGUGGAAAGAAAAGGCAGAGAGAAAGAUGGCUGUGAUUGUCACAUCCCUAGCUGGGCCAAGCCCCAAAGUCUGCGCCUUGAGGCAGCCUCACAGCCUGGCCGCCAUCUCUCUGUAGGAAAUAGAACAUCUGAUCAAGUUCAGAGGCGCCAGGAGAGACCGCCUUAAGCAGCGCUUUAUAACUGCAGCCUUUCACUUCCUGCUCCCCAGUCUGCCUGGCCCAGCCAACACUUCACCUUCUUUCUUAGCCAGUUUGCUGGGAGAACACCCUACCGGUAGCACAUCUUACCGUAUUCACCCCCUCCCAUCAAACUCGCCCCAAUUCUCUCUCCACAUCCAGAGCUCUCUCCCCAGGUUGGAAGGUCCUUCCCCAGACACCUGAAGAGAUGGGGGAAGGAGAAUCAAUUUGGAGAGCCAAGUUUGCCUGACAUUUUGGAGCACACAUUUACCCAGGACCCCAAGUUCCUUGUAGCUGCUAAAUGCUGUACUAGUUCUAAAAUGUAAAUUAGCUUCAAGAUGUUUCCAUGAAGAAAAAUCCCGCCUUCAACUUCUACGUUAUUCAUCCUGCUUUUAGAAAUGACCCUUGCCCUGAUCUGAGGUGGAAGAAAUAAAGGUCUGGUAAAGAAAUGAUAUGCUUAUGGACCUGGAACCAUUUAUUUUAUUUCAACUAAAGGGCUACACUUUUGCUGUUGCAGAACGAAAUUUCCCCCUGUAAGACAGUGAGGGAUGGAGCUACUUGAUGAAAAGGGCUGUUCUAAUUCUACUUCUCCCCGUUUUCAACAGAUCCACUCCUGACCUCCUUCUAGAAGAAAGAAGGGGAGUGGAGAUUCGGAGCAUGCCAUCUCAUUAAGAAUUGUUCCCCAGUGAUAUUUCCUUUGCUGUUUCUCCCCCCACCCUAGGUGGAAUCCCAAGAACUGGUGAGGGGAACCUUAUGCCUCUCAAUUUCUAGAUGAUUGCAAAAACCAGAACUGUCCAGGUAUCAUGCAGUUUGGUUCAGGCUUUGAGGACAGCUCCAAGUUGUGGAAGGCAGGGACAGAUGGGAGCAAGCAAGUUGCAGAGUGACUUGAAACUGAACCCUUUUUUCCCCCGUGGAAAAACUUUUUAUUCACACAAGCAAUACAUUAGCUGCUUCACUCUUCAAAUUAUUUCAUUUUAUUUUUAGAGACAGGGUUCUCAUUCUCUCACCCAGGCUGGAGUUCAGUGGCAUGAUCACAUCUCACUGCAGCCUUGACCUACCGGGCUCAAGCAAUCCUCCUGCCUCCUACCACCCAAGUAGCUGGGAUCACAGGUGCAUGCCACUGCGCCUGGCUAUUUUUUUUUUUUUUAAUUUUUCAUGGAGACAGUAUCUCCCUAUGUUGCCCAGGCUGGUCUCGAAUUCCUGGGCUCCAGCAAUCCCCACCUUGGCCUCCCUAAGUGCUAGAAUUUUAGGUACAGGCCACCACACCUGCCCCUUCAAAAUGUUUAUAGCUUGCAUGCUACAUGUAAGACAUCCUGGGGGUACUGUGGGGGAAGAUACCAGGAAAUGAUGUCAAGAUUCAGUCUUGCACCUGGGCUAGCAAAACAUUGUAGCAGUUUUAGAAGGAAUAUUUCAUAAUCCUAUGUGGAUUAUCUGAAACUUUAGGGUAACUGUCAGAGGUUUUCUUUCUUUCUUUCUUUUCCUUUUCUUUUCUUUCUUUCUUUCUUUCUUUUUCUCUCUCUCUCUCCCUUCCUUCCUUCCUCCCUCCCUCUUUCUCUCUCCUCCUUCCUUUCUUUCUUUCUUCCUUUUUCUUUCUUUCUUUCUCUCUCUCUCUCUUUCUUUCUUUCUUUCUUUCCUUACUUUCUUUUCGACAGAGUCUUGCUCUGUUGCCCAGGCAGUGGUGC
rnacentral:lncRNA from 10 species